UAAUCUUUGCAAACAUAGAAUUACUAAUAUAGUAAUAUGUUAGUAAAUGUUAAGUAGGUACUAAAAUUAUUUUCAAAUCGACAUCAUAGACAUCAUAUUUAAACCUAUCAUAAACUAUUAAUAAUUAUUAUCUUUACAUAAAGCUAAAUAAUUCAGGCACUACUCGAUGAUUAAAUUUUAAUUUACAUACCUACUUGUAUUUGAAAAAUUGAAAAAUAAAUAAUUUGCAUAUCAAUAUACCAAUAUACAAUAAAAAUGGGUAAGUGGCAAGUGCCCAUUAAUAAUAAGCGUAUUGUUUGGAAAUGAUAUGUUUAUAUUGACACAGAACAAUUAUUAAAAGGUAUUAAAAAUUUGUUUUGGCCUUUAUAAAUAUACCUACUUAAAAAUAACAAAAAUUAGAAUUUGAAUAUAUUCAUUGUUAAUGGAAAAUAAAGGUGAGUAUGCUUAGGAAAUCACUCUGUAAAUUGUGAAUUAUUUAAAAGCAUAACAAAUAGUGUGUAAUAUAUUAUUAAGGUACCUAUAUAGUAUGUCAUACAAUAGUUCAACUCGUAGGAGUUGAUAGUAUCUUGCUUUUAUACUUUCAGAUAUUUGUAUUUAUUUUUUUUUUAUAUAUUUACAGGACACUCAAAAAGUACAUGGUUUAUUUUUAUUUUUUUUUUAAACUUAAACACGAAUUCAUAACACAUGUUGAAUUUUAUUAUGACAUUUUGUGUAGACAAUUUAGUGCCCAAUUGUGUUGGUAUUCAAAAGCCAAAAACGUGCUCAAUCAUUCGAUUCCAAAUAUUCCCCAUAGCAACCAAAAUCGAUUGCAAUUUCUUCUUUUUCUAAUCCCUAGCGAUAACAACAUUUACAAAUGACAUAGAAUUUUAAUGAGAUUUUCUACUUUAUUUAUUAUUAUUUUUUAAAUGUUGUUUUAGAUAAUUCAUUUUGACUAUAACGAAUUGAAAAAAAAAAUAGAAGCAUUAGUGGUUUAAGAUGACUAAACCAAAUGGAGUAUAGACUUUAUUUAGUUUCUACUUUCUACCUUCUAAAUUACCACGAUCGUGUGCGUCCUACAAUCUUCAAUCACUUUAAGUGGUCAUAUUGAACUAGCCAGUAGCUUGAAAUGCGUGUGAGAUAAAGGUGAAACUAAUAAUUAAAUAAAAAUCCCACGGAUAAUGAAAAAAAAAAUAAAAGUCGUCAAAUGAUUGAUAAAAAAAUCUUCAAUGUGUCAGUUCUCUUAGGAGUUGGGGAAGAUGUAUAAAAUAAAGACAAAAUAUUGUUGGCCCAAACAUGACAUGUGUGCUAAAUUUGCUAUGACCCGUGAAUAAGAUAUAUUUUUCAAACCAGAGACAGACUUUUCCUGUUGGACCGCCUUUAAAGAUGGGCAGCGGACUGUUCGUUCAAAUACUAAUUAGAGGCAAUCCUGCAGCUUAUGUCAGUAAAGUAAAAUAUACAUUAAUAAUAUUGAUGUCGAAGACGUUAUUGACAUCACUAUUUCCGUUAACAAAAACAAAAAUAAUUUAUUAAGUAAACAACUGUCAAUUUUUUUAAACUCAAUACUCGUAUUAUAUAUUCUAUUUUUAUGAAGUACAAAAUAUGAUUUAUUUUGCUUAGUAAUUAAUAGUUUAUUUAAGGUCAACGAGUUCUAAAGACUUCAAAAUAAUCAGGAGUUUAGGUAAAUCGAAAAUAUCCCUAAAUUUAAUAUGAUAAACAGAAUGAAACAAAUUUGAGUGCCGAUUAGUUUUUCGUGCCGAAUUGCAGAUAUCAUAAAUCCGCCACUGCCUAGUGUUUAUUACAAUUUGCAGCAGUAU